rnacentral:rRNA from 1 species
AACGAACGCUGGCGGCAUGCCUAACACAUGCAAGUCGAACGAGACCUUCGGGUCUAGUGGCGCACGGGUGCGUAACGCGUGGGAACCUGCCCUUAGGUUCGGAAUAACUCCCCGAAAGGGGUGCUAAUACCGGAUAAUGUCUUCGGACCAAAGAUUUAUCGCCUUUGGAUGGGCCCGCGUUGGAUUAGCUAGUUGGUAGGGUAAAAGCCUACCAAGGCGACGAUCCAUAGCUGGUCUGAGAGGAUGAUCAGCCACACUGGGACUGAGACACGGCCCAGACUCCUACGGGAGGCAGCAGUGGGGAAUAUUGGACAAUGGGCGAAAGCCUGAUCCAGCAAUGCCGCGUGAGUGAUGAAGGCCUUAGGGUUGUAAAGCUCUUUUACCCGGGAUGAUAAUGACAGUACCGGGAGAAUAAGCACCGGCUAGCUCCGUG